rnacentral:rRNA from 1 species
AGUAAUGCGUGACCAACCUCGCCCCAUGCUNCCAGAAUAGCUCUUGGAAACGGGUUGUAAUGCUGGAUGCUCCAACUUGACGCAUGUCUUGUUGGGAAAGUGUUUAGUGGCAUGGGAUAGGGUCGCGUCCUAUCAGCUUGUAGGCGGGGUAAUGGCCCACCUAGGCUUCGACGGGUAGCCGGCCUGAGAGGGCGGACGGCCACAUUGGGACUGAGAUACGGCCCAGACUCCUACGGGAGGCAGCAGUC